CCACUGCCAGCCCUGAAGCUUCAGUCACAACCUCUGAAAGCAGCAAAUCAGGAACUACUGGACCCUCAGUAGGUGGAAAAACUAGAGCCACAAGCAGUGAAGCGACAUCAUCUGAAGGCGUGUCAGGUGAGUAGAGGAUGUCAUUCCGAGGCCAUGGCUUUUGGUGAAAAGGACAAUCUUUCAUCAGACCUCUGCAAAUUUCACUAAGUAUAAAUGCCAUCCAACAGAAGAUAGAAAGGUAUCUAAGUUAUUAACAUUUUCAAGAAAAGUUUUAAUUUAGGUUUUCUCCAAGUAUUUCCUUCAAAACUGCUAUGGCACUGGGUUGUCACAAUAAUGUAUGUGCUCUCCCAACACUGUGUUUGCCAGGUGGAACAGGACAGCCUCUUGGAUCUACCGCUGGAUCUGACAGUGAAAUCACAGCGAGAACAUCUUUCACUGGUUCCAGCUUACCUGGGAAACUCACCAGGCCAAGCCCAGGCUCACCUGGUCACUUUAGUGGUGGAACAACUGAAGGGGGAAAUGUAGCCACCACUGGAGCUGCUGGUGAAAACACUUCUGGAGCAUCGGGUAUGGAAAGAGCAUAAUUAGAAUAAAUCCAGACAGUAGAAGUAUAAUUUUUUUUACUUAAAAUGUUGUCAGAGACAAGGUUGCCUGGGGAAUUUAAUUAUUAUUUGUGUAAUGUCAAAACUGCAGAAGAUCAGAAAUAAAUCAAGAAAUAUUUGUUGUGUGUUCAAUAUCAUCCUGGGGGAUACAGACAACAUAAA
rnacentral:lncRNA from 10 species